ACAGCCGCAGGUCGCCGCCGCCGCCGCCGCCGCCGUGCCCCAGGCCCAGGGGCAGCCCCCCGGGCUCGGCAUGCAACAGCCCAUGUUCCAGCGCCAAGGCCUCCAGCAGACGCAGCAGCAGCAGCAGACGGCCGCCCUGGUCCGCCAGCUCCAGCAGCAGCUGUCCAACAGCCAGCCCCAGCCCAACAACAUGUUCGGACGCUACUGAGCCGUCGGCGGACGCCCACCCCGGAGCGCCCGCGGCGGAGGAGGAACCGCGGCCUCUUCCUCCUCCUCCUCCUCCUCCCUCAGACGCCGUUUUUAAUGAGUUUUUACUAUUUUUGUUAACGCGCGGCGGCCCGGCCGCGGGCUUUUCUACGUUAUUUAUACAACGCCCGCCCGGGCCCGCGGAUAAUACACACCUGCCUC